rnacentral:rRNA from 1 species
GUCCUACGGGAGGCAGCAGUGGGGGAUAUUGCACAAUGGGGGCAACCCUGAUGCAGCGACGCCGCGUGAGCGAUGGAGUACUUCGGUAUGUAAAGCUCUGUCAGCAGGGAAGAGAAUGACGGUACCUGACCAAGAAGCCCCGGCUAAAUACGUGCCAGCAGCCGCGGUAAUACGUAUGGGGCAAGCGUUAUCCGGAUUUACUGGGUGUAAAGGGAGCGUAGACGGCGUGCCAAGUCUGAUGUGAAAGGCCGGGGCUCAACCCCGGGACUGCAUUGGAAACUGGCAUGCUGGAGUGCCGGAGGGGC